rnacentral:rRNA from 1 species
UACGUUGGUCCCGAGCGUUGUCCGGAUUUAUUGGGCGUAAAGCGAGCGCAGGUGGUUUAUUAAGUCUGUUGUAAAAGGCAGUGGCUCAACCAUUGUAUGCAUUGGAAACUGGUAGACUUGAGUGCAGGAGAGGAGAGUGGAAUUCCAUGUGUAGCGGUGAAAUGCGUAGAUAUAUGGAGGAACACCGGUGGCGAAAGCGGCUCUCUGGCCUGUAACUGACACUGAGGCUCGAAAGCGUGGGGAGCAAACAGG